rnacentral:lncRNA from 1 species
CAUCCAUCCAUCCACAUACCAACCUGUUACAAACCUAGUCACCAACAUCCAUUCGUCCAGAUACCAACCUGAUACAAACCUAGCCACCAUCAUCCAUCCAUACCCCAAACCCUGAUCCUGCUACCCCCAACUGUGCCCUGCUGCCACCCAGCAAAAACCCACAUUUACCCCACCCUCUCCACUAUUAGCUCAUGACCACCCCCUCAUCGUCCAAGCCCUCAACAUUCCUUGUCCACUGGGGUAUUGAUGAGGGGCUGUUAAAGGCGUCAUGUGUGUAUGUCCUUAAGUGUGUGUGUUCAUACAGUAUCCAAGCCUGUGUUAUUUUCUAUAUUCAUAUUAGAAUGUCCUAUUUUUAAAGCUCUUCCUGCAACUGUUUUUCUCUGUACAAUCAUUGUGAAAUGAGUUUCAGGGAAGGAAGAGGGAGAACCACACAAACACUCUUAGAAUGACCACAAACCACACACACAAACAUGUGCACACACAUAUCCCUCCGAGCAGACCCAAGGUCUCCACUCCUCCCUAAAGACAACAUUCUGAUUUAUUUGAAAUUCUUUUCAGAACGAAGUUCUGCUUCGUUGUGUGUUGCUGUUCUAUUUCUCCUCCAUUCAUUCAUUCAUUCAUCGGAUGAAGGGAUGAGAUGGCGGGAUACAGAGACAGUUAAAAACAUUCUGUUUUUAUUCCUUCCCACAAAUAUUACCCCCACCUCCUUCCCUAAAUCACUCCGGCAAAUCAAAGAGGAAUGACUUUGGAUCGGAACGUUCCGCCCGGACCGACAUUCCAAUCAUACCAACAGCCAACCCCAGAAAUGUUGCUAACCAGAAUUGUACACCCCAUACAAAAUAGGGAGAGGGUUGAGUAUGUGGUUGGAAUUUGCGUAAUGUUUUAUAUCUGCAAUAUUUGCAGCCCUGGUGCCCUGUGCCUGUACUGUACUAUGGCAUGGUUGUUAGAUCUAUUUCUGUUUGGACCUUGUUCUUCAAACAAUUAAUCCCCAAACAUAACCCACAGAGUCACCACUAUAUCAUCUUCUGCAUUCUAGAUGUGUGUAUGUGCUUUUGUUUGUUUGAGGGAAAGAGUGUGUAUCUGUUGCAGUGUGUGUGUGUGUGUGUGGGUGUGUGUGUGUGUGUGUGUGUGUGUGUGUGUGUGUGUGUGUGUGUGUGUGUGUACACAUCCUCUGGCAGUGCCAGUUUCAUCAGCACAUUCUUUGACCUCGGGUUCUAAGUGACAUUCCAUUCUGUUUUUUGUUCAAAUAACCGGUUUCUUCAUUUCUCCGUUUUUUUGUUGUUUUGAAUGUUUAUAAUGCAACCUUCAAUAAGAAAUGCAGAAGAGCAGAAAGGUUAUCUAAACAAAUCUGCCGACGCCUGAAUGCCUUUGUUUGAUCCCUGACACAGCAGUAUGCUUUAGUGAUUAAUUUAUUGUGUUUCUGUUUUUUUAUUAAAGAUAUCCACUGGUUGUGUUUAGAGGUUUUUUGCAUAUAAACGUUUUUGAAUGUAGACCUUUUCACUGUAAAAUGCAGCAGGGGAGGGUUAUUCACCAAACAAACCAUCACCAUAACAUUUCAUGUUGAUCUGAAAGUAGCAUCAAAAUAUCUCCAGCUUUACCUCUGACAGGUGCAGUUUCUGACAUAUUGUUUACAACUCCACUUCAGGAG